AUUGAACGCUGGCGGCAUGCCUAACACAUGCAAGUCGAACGGAGGUAGGGGCAACUCUACUUCAGUGGCGGACGGGUGAGGAAUGCGUCGGAAUCUACCCUAUGGUGGGGGAUAACACAGGGAAACUUGUGCUAAUACCGCAUAAUGUCGAGAGACCAAAGCAGGGGACCGCAAGGCCUUGCGCGAUAGGAUGAGCCGACGCCCGAUUAGCUAGUUGGUAGGGUAAAGGCCUACCAAGGCGACGAUCGGUAGCUGGUCUGAGAGGAUGAUCAGCCACACUGGGACUGAGACACGGCCCAGACUCCUACGGGAGGCAGCAGUGGGGAAUAUUGGACAAUGGGCGCAAGCCUGAUCCAGCAAUGCCGCGUGUGUGAAGAAGGCCU
rnacentral:rRNA from 1 species